AUCAGUUCCUUCAGGAAACUCGUAGAGGACAUCGUAAACUAUAAGUGUUGAGCGUAGUAAAGCUCUCACUCAAGGUUUAAGCUUAAGGAUGCACCUAUAGAACCAGCAUUGGACUCCAGGUGAGAAACUAUGACUCCUUAUCCAAUUUCUUUCCUGCGCAUAAUAUCUCCUUUGUUUGAACCGAAUAUUUUGUAUACAUUGAAGCCUUCGAUACCGUGAUUAUAUUUGUUCUUGAAA